rnacentral:rRNA from 1 species
CCUACGGGGGGCUGCAGUGGGGAAUAUUGGACAAUGGGCGAAAGCCUGAUCCAGCCAUGCCGCGUGUGUGAAGAAGGCCUUCGGGUUGUAAAGCACUUUCAGUGGGGAAGAAAGCCUUGGGGCUAAUACCCUCGAGGAAGGACAUCACCCACAGAAGAAGCACCGGCUAACUCCGUGCCAGCAGCCGCGGUAAUACGGAGGGUGCGAGCGUUAAUCGGAAUUACUGGGCGUAAAGCGCGCGUAGGCGGUCUGAUAAGCCGGUUGUGAAAGCCCCGGGCUCAACCUGGGAACGGCAUCCGGAACUGUCGGGCUAGAGUGCAGGAGAGGAAGGUAGAAUUCCCGGUGUAGCAGUGAAAUGCGUAGAGAUCGGGAGGAAUACCAGUGGCGAAGGCGGCCUUCUGGACUGACACUGACGCUGAGGUGCGAAAGCGUGGGUAGCAAACAGGAUUAGAUACCCUGGUAGUC